GAUGAACGCUGGCGGCGUGCCUAAUACAUGCAAGUCGAGCGAACAGAUGAGGAGCUUGCUCCUCUGACGUUAGCGGCGGACGGGUGAGUAACACGUGGAUAACCUACCUAUAAGACUGGGAUAACUUCGGGAAACCGGAGCUAAUACCGGAUAAUAUAUUGAACCGCAUGGUUCAAUAGUGAAAGACGGUUUUGUUGUCACUUAUAGAUGGAUCCGCGCCGCAUUAGCUAGUUGGUAAGGUAACGGCUUACCAAGGCAACGAUGCGUAGCCGACCUGAGAGGGUGAUCGGCCACACUGGAACUGAGACACGGUCCAGACUCCUACGGGAGGCAGCAGUAGGGAAUCUUCCGCAAUGGGCGAAAGCUUGACGGAGCAACGCCGCGUGAGUGAUGAAGGUCUUCGGAUCGUAAAACUCUGUUAUUAGGGAAGAACAAAUGUGUAAGUAACUAUGCACGUCUUGACGGUACCUAAUCAGAAAGCCACGGCUAACUACGUG
rnacentral:rRNA from 1 species